rnacentral:misc_RNA from 1 species
GAUGAAGAACGCAGCGAAAUGCGAUAAGUAAUGUGAAUUGCAGAAUUCAGUGAAUCAUCGAAUCUUUGAACGCACAUUGCGCCCGCCAGUAUUCUGGCGAGCAUGCCUGUUCGAGCGUCAUUUCAACCAUCAAGCCCCAGGCUUGUGUUGGAGCCCUGCGGCUGCCGCAGCCUCCCAAAACCAGUGGCGGGCUCGCUAUCACACCGAGUGCAGUAGUUUACUCUUCGCUCAGGGCGUGUGGCGGGUGCUAGCCGCGAAACCCCCAACUUCUCAAGGUUGACCUCGGAUCAGGUAGGAAUACCCGCUGAACUUAAGCAUAUCAAUAAGCGGAGGA